rnacentral:rRNA from 1 species
AGCGCAGGCGGGAAGACAAGUUGGAAGUGAAAUCUAUGGGCUCAACCCAUAAACUGCUUUCAGAACUGUUUUUCUUGAGUAGUGCAGAGGUAGGCGGAAUUCCCGGUGUAGCGGUGGAAUGCGUAGAUAUCGGGAGGAACACCAGUGGCGAAGGCGGCCUACUGGGCACCAACUGACGCUGAGGCUCGAAAGUGUGGGUAGCAAACA